UUGAAUUUUAAUGAAGAGUUUGGUUGUAGCUGGCCCAUUCAUUUGGGCAUGUGCACACCUUCCUCUUCAUCCCACACACACCUGUGAACCUGUGAGACAGAGAUGGGGAAUUUACUUGCUGCUUUUGGAAUACAAAGGCAGUAGGUUAUUGGACCCCCCCUCUGUCUACUCAAUUAAUAUAAACUCAAUUUAUUUUAAACGAAUGUAAUGGAUGUAACACAUCUCAUAC
rnacentral:misc_RNA from 1 species